rnacentral:lncRNA from 1 species
GUGUAGAGACAGUGAGAGUGAGACAGUGUAAGACUCACAGUGAGAGUGAGACAGGGUGUAGAGACAGUGAGAGUGAGACAGUGUAAGACACAGUGAGAGUGAGACAGGGUGUAGAGACUGAGACUGAUAGGGUGAGACUCACAGUAAAGUGAGACAUGGCGAGACAGUGAGAGUGUGUGGAGACAAUGAGAGUGAGACAGGGUGAGACUCACGGUGAGGGUCAGACCCAGGCCUUGACAGAGCUCAACCUCUCCCCACCCCAGCAGCAGCAGUUGCCCCCCUGCCCCUCGCACCCGCGCCACCCCCCCCCGUGGUACUGUGCACGUGAGCAGGGCUGGAAGAGCAGGAAGAGGCGGAGCCGGCGAGCCAGGCCGCAGUAGAUCGCCAUGGCGACCACAAUGAGUGGCGACAUCACCACGAAGCCCAGGAUGAUGAGUGCAGAGGAACUGUUGUCGUCCAGCAGGUGGCGACAGUAGGAGGCCUUGGAGUGCAGGACCUUGUGGGGAGAGGAGGCAGCAGAGAGGAGCAGUGAGGCAGGGGGACAGUUUCUCAGCACUCAGCAGACACGUGACAGGAGCAGAGAGAGGGAAACGCUAAUGAAUGAGCUGUCAAGCAUAGGAGCAGCACUGAGCCAAGAUCACUGAGUGCUCUGGCACAGGGAGGAGAGGGACAUAACCUCCAUCUGCGUGCAGAGUGUGUGUGUUUCAGGCCUGUAGGUGCAGUGUGUGACUGUGUGUGUCUGUGUAUGUGUCUGUGUGUUUGUGUGUGACUGUGUGUGAGUGUGUGUGUGUGACUGUGUGUGUGCCAGACUGUGACUGUCUAUCUUUCCCAGACUCCCCUGCCCGCCCAGCUGUGCCACUCAAGCUGUCAAUCAGCUGUCAGAGCUGUCAGAGACGCUCCCAGGCAGAUGGAGCUCAGAAACUGUCUGCAGUAACACUCCCUCACGCCACCAGACUGGGCCAGCACUCGAACCCGGGCCCCACGAUCUGCCAGGGCACCGGGAUCGUUUGCCAUGGAGCCCUGCUGCUGGACCAGCACGCCGCCCAGAGACGCUUCCUCAUCCCAGCGCCGGCCGACUCCCCUCAGUGUGUGAAUUCAGGGGAGUGUGAGAGGAGAGGGACAGCAGUGUCUCCAGUCCAGUCAGGAGUGUGUCAGUGUGUGAAUUCAGGGGAGUGUGAGAGGAGAGGGACAGCAGUGUCUCUAGCAGUGUCUCCAGUCCAGUCAGG